CUUCAAUGGAAAAGAAAAAAAAUGUCAAAGGUUGAAUUAAACUCAUGAGAAUAAUCACAUUCAAAUAAAGCUUAUAAAUGAAAACAUGCAAUUCAACUAAC